AGACGUCUACAUUAGACUACCCCUGUACGUCCCAGCCGUAAACUAUGCUCGCUAGGUGUCAGGCAUAGCGCGACCGUGUCUGGUGCCGCAGGGAAGCCGUGAAGCGAGCCACCUGGGAAGUACGGCCGCAAGGCUGAAACUUAAAGGAAUUGGCGGGGGAGCACAACAACGGGUGGAGCCUGCGGUUUAAUUGGACUCAACGCCGGGAAGCUCACCGGAUAAGACAGCGGAAUGAUUGCCGGGCUGAAGACUCCGCAUGACUAGCUG
rnacentral:rRNA from 1 species